rnacentral:rRNA from 1 species
GAUGAACGCUGGCGGCGUGCCUAAUACAUGCAAGUCGAGCGGACGGACGCGAAGCUUGCUUCUCUGUUGUUUGGGGAGGAGGGGAGUAUAACAUGUGUAUAACCCACCUAUAUGUCGGGGAAAUUUUCGGAAAACCGGAUCUUACAGCGGAUGAUCUCUUGCAGCACAUGGUUCAAUAGAGAGAGACGGUCUUGCGGUAACUAAUCGAUGGUUCUGGGCUGCAUUAGCUGGUUGGUAAGGUAACGGCUUACCAAGGCAACUAGGCAUAGCCGAGCGGAGAGGGUGGUCGGCGACAUUGGAGCUGAGACGCGGUCCAGACGCCUGCGGGAGGCAGCAGUAGGGAAUCUGCCGCAAUAGGCGAAAGCCUGACGGAGCAACCGCGCGUGAGUGGUGAAGGUCUUCGGAUCGUAAUACUCUAUUAUGAGUUAAGAACAUAUGUGUAAGUAACUGUGCACAUCUUGACGGUACCUAAUCAGAAAGCCACGGCUAACUACGUG